rnacentral:rRNA from 1 species
GACGAACGCUGGCGGCGUGCCUAAUACAUGCAAGUAGAACGCUGAAGAGAGGAGCUUACUCUUCUUGGAUGAGUUGCGAACGGGUGAGUAACGCGUAGGUAACCUGCCUUGUAGCGGGGGAUAACUAUUGGAAACGAUAGCUAAUACCGCAUAACAAUGGAUGACACAUGUCAUUUAUCUGAAAGGGGCAAUUGCUCCACUACAAGAUGGACCUGCGUUGUAUUAGCUAGUAGGUGAGGUAAUGGCUCACCUAGGCGACGAUACAUAGCCGACCUGAGAGGGUGAUCGGCCACACUGGGACUGAGACACGGCCCAGACGCCUACGGGAGGCAGCAGUAGGGAAUCUUCGGCAAUGGGGGCAACCCUGACCGAGCAACGCCGCGUGAGUGAAGAAGGUUUUCGGAUCGUAAAGCUCUGUUGUAAGUCAAGAACGGGUGUGAGGGUGGAAAGUUCACACUGUGACGGUAGCUUACCAGAAAGGGACGGCUAACUACGUG